rnacentral:rRNA from 1 species
GUGUCAGCAGCCGCGGUAAUACAGAGGGUGCAAGCGUUAAUCGGAAUUACUGGGCGUAAAGGGUGCGUAGGUGGUUUGAUAAGUUGGGUGUGAAAGUCCUGAGCUUAACUUGGGGAUUGCGCUUAAUACUGUUGAGCUAGAGUACUGUAGAGGAAGGUGGAAUUUCCAGUGUAGCGGUGAAAUGCGUAGAUAUUGGAAGGAACAUCAGUGGCGAAGGCGACUUUCUGGACAGAUACUGACACUGAGGCACGAAAGCAUGGGGAGCAAACAGGAUUAGAUACCCGCGUAGUCC